rnacentral:tRNA from 1 species
GGGGGUAUAGCUCAGUGGUAGAGCGUGUGCUUAGCAUGCAUGAGGUCCUGGGUUCAAUCCCCAGUGCCUCCA